CAUCAACUGCUCAGAGGCCUCUUCCAAAUAUCAAGGCUGUUGACCCUCAUGGAAGCGACAUGGAGCUGACCACUACACCAGGCAAUCAGCUACGUUAGUUUUCACCGCUCAUGACAACCGCCCCGUCCUGCCACGACAAUCCAUAGGCAGGUUCUUCGUACUUACUGAGGGCCGCCUCUGACCAACAUCAAGCAAGAAAUUGAGCCUCCAGCCCAACAGACAGUGGAGAACAGCUGACCCUGAUCUGCCACUGAGUGAGCCUAGAAGCUGAUCCUACUCCAGGGACCCUUGAGCUGGCCAUUGCUCUGAUGAUAGCUACAGCCAUAAAAACCAACAUCACCACGAUGUUGUGGCAGAGGUGAUG